rnacentral:tRNA from 1 species
UCGGGAUAGCUCAGCUGGUAGAMCAGAGGACUGAAAAUCCUCGUGUCACCAGU